GCCAAGGAUUUAUCUGCCACUCUUCUCUGAAUCAGAGGUCUUCUGCAUGGCUGGCAUUCACCAAAGACAAGGCAGCAGCUGGAGAUCAGGGGCCAGAAAUGGCGUCACUCUUUCUGGACCCGGCGUAACGUCAGGGCGGUCUGGACCUGGAGCUGCCAUCUCCCAGAGGACACCGGAAUGGGUCUCGCUGGACCUGCUGCACCUUGCAGACCCCCUAUCCAGCCCCCUGCCUCCCCUUCCGGAAGAAUAUAGCACUUGUCCGUCUUCCCAGCCAGGAAGGAGGAGGAUGUCUGUGGUCGGUGUCACAGCUGCCACGGCAAGGCAAGAGCCUCCGAGGGACAGAGGCCCGUACGGAGACAAGCCUGUGGCAAAAAGAAAACCGAUUCCCUCCGCAUCCUUUCAGCUGGCAGCUUGA
rnacentral:lncRNA from 1 species